AUUGAACGCUGGCGGCAGGCCUAACACAUGCAAGUCGAGCGAGCGGCGGACGGGUGAGUAAUGCCUAGGAACCUGCCUGAUGGCGGGGGAUAACUACGGGAAAGGGUAGCUAAUACCGCAUACCAUCAGAUCUGCCCAGAUGGGAUUAGCUAGUUGGUGGGGUAACGGCUCACCAAGGCGACGAUCCCUAGCUGGUUUGAGAGGAUGACCAGCCACACUGGGACUGAGACACGGCCCAGACUCCUACGGGAGGCAGCAGUGGGGAAUAUUGGACAAUGGGGGAAAGCCUGAUGCAGCCAUGCCGCGUGUAUGAUGAAGGCCUUCGGGUUGUAAAGUACUUUCAGCAGGGAAGCGUUACCCGCAGAAGAAGCACCGGCUAACUCCGUGCCAGCAGCCGCGGUAAUAC
rnacentral:rRNA from 1 species